rnacentral:tRNA from 1 species
GCCGAAGUGGUGGAACUUGGUAGACACGCUAUCUUGAGGGGGUAGUGGGGAGACUCGUGCCGGUUCAAAUCCGGCCUUCGGCACCA